rnacentral:rRNA from 1 species
GAUGAACGCUGGCGGCGUGCUUAACACAUGCAAGUCGAACGAUGAAGCCCAGCUUGCUGGGUGGAUUAGUGGCGAACGGGUGAGUAACACGUGAGUAACCUGCCCUUGACUCUGGGAUAAGCCUGGGAAACUGGGUCUAAUACUGGAUAUGACUUCUCAUCGCAUGGUGGGGGGUGGAAAGAUUUAUUGGUCUUGGAUGGACUCGCGGCCUAUCAGCUUGUUGGUGAGGUAAUGGCUCACCAAGGCGACGACGGGUAGCCGGCCUGAGAGGGUGACCGGCCACACUGGGACUGAGACACGGCCCAGACUCCUACGGGAGGCAGCAGUGGGGAAUACUGCACAAUGGGCGCAAGCCUGAUGCAGCGACGCCGCGUGAGGGAUGACGGCCUUCGGGUUGUAAACCUCUUUCAGUAGGGAAGAAGCGAGAGUGACGGUACCUGCAGAAGAAGCGCCGGCUAACUACGUG